rnacentral:rRNA from 1 species
UUAAGCAUAAACGGUGGAUACCUCGACUCCUAAAUCGAUGAAGACCGCCGUAGCAAACUGCGAUAAUUCACUUGAAUUGCAGCCUACUGGGAUAGUUGAAAUGUUGAACGCACAUGAUGACAUUGGUCCUUACGGAUUAAAUGUUAUACCUGGGUGAGAGUGGCU